CGUUGCUCGGAAUUAUUGGGCGUAAAGCGCACGUAGGCGGCUUAGCAAGUCGGAAGUGAAAUCCCUCGGCUCAACCAAGGAAGUGCUUUCGAAACUGCUGAGCUUGAGUACUUAAGAGGAUCGCGGAAUUCCCGGUGUAGAGGUGAAAUUCGUAGAUAUCGGGAGGAACACCAGUGGCGAAGGCGGCGAUCUGGGAAGAUACUGACGCUGAGGUGCGAAAGCGUGGGGAGCAAACAGG
rnacentral:rRNA from 1 species